rnacentral:tRNA from 1 species
CGGGGAGUGGUCCAAUGGUAGGAUACGCGGUUUGGGACCGUGUGGUCUGAGUUCGAUUCUCAGUUCCCCGA